rnacentral:rRNA from 1 species
GAUGAACGCUAGCGGCAGGCUUAAUACAUGCAAGUCGAGGGGGAUUAUUUUUGUAGCAAUACAGAGAUAUGAGACCGGCAAACGGGUGCGGAACACGUACGCAACCUUCCCAAAACUGGUGAAUAGCCCUCCGAAAGGAGGAUUAAUACGCCGUAACAUAAUGAAGUGGCAUCACUUUAUUAUUAUAGCUCCGGCGGUUUUGGAUGGGCGUGCGCCUGAUUAGGUAGUUGGCGGGGUAACGGCCCACCAAGCCUGCGAUCAGUAACUGGUGUAGGAGCACGACCAGUCACACGGGCAUUGAGACACGGGCCCGACUCCUACGGGAGGCAGCAGUAAGGAAUAUUGGUCAAUGGACGAAAGUCUGAACCAGCCAUGCCGCGUGAAGGAUGAAGGCCCUCUGGGUUGUAAACUUCUUUUAUCUGGGACGAAAAAAGGCGAUUCUUCGUCACUUGACGGUACCAGAGGAAUAAGCACCGGCUAACUCCGUGCCAGCAGCCGCAGUAAGAC